UUUCUUUCUCCUCCGCCUCUCACCCUCUCAUUUUUCUCUGUAAGAACAUGAAACCCUAUGGUGAACUGAACCCAAACCCUGUCUUCCUUUUCUAUCAUCAUAGAUCAUAUCCCCAUCAUGAACUCUUUUCUUUCAUCACCAUCAAUAGUUCUUUUAGUUGUCAUACUCAAAAUCAACAAAACCCUUAAAAACCUAGAAUCAAAAUCUGAUUUGUUUCUCAAUAAUUGAGUACAAAAUCAACUCGAACCUCACUGUCACUUCACAGAUCGAAACUCACUGUCAGCAAUCCAUGCUUUAUCCUUAACCCUUAUCUUAAAAUCGAAACCCAUGUAUCAGCGGAAAUUAAAAUGAAACUCUGUAAACCUAGGUCUAGUUUUUUUGCUCCUGAAAUUAUCAGGGUAAUAUCAAUCUUCUUCUUAUUUCAUAAAUUUUAUAAAUUUUUGUACUGUUAACAAUUUAAUUUCUCUUAUCUUGUCUCGUUUUUGCAGUAAGGUGUUUCCUUUUCUACUUUUCCUUACACAAUUCAUCAAGUUGGUUGAAGAUCUCUUCUCUUAAUGUUGAGGAAAACAUCUUUAACUUCUCAAAGAAGGGUUUAAUCUCAUCAUAGAUUGGUAUUGGUUUCAUGAUUCUCAUGCAUAAUAUGGAUCCUGUACUAGUCCUUGUAUCAUCUUACAUUAAAGCAUGUGUAUAAGAAGAUUGGUAUACAGGCUAUGAAGUCUUAUAUUUGGCUACAAACUUCUGAUGGUUCCAUCCAGCAAGUAGAAAAAGAGGUGGUUACAUUCAUCCCAAUGAUUUGUAGAGAGGUGCUAGAAAAUAGCAUGGGAUCAACUAAGAACUGCGCUAACAUCUCAAAGCAUGCCAUAUAAAUCCCGUGUGGCGCAACAUCUCCCAGGUUUGGAGCUUAUCGAAGGGGACAGUUGUAGUGAAAUUUAAUGCCUAUGAGAAUGUAAAUUUGGUAUGUGUGGUCUGAUAAGCUGCUAUCAUGUCUACAACACUUGGCCAGAGUAGUACCCACUGAAUUUCUUUGUUACUAUUUGCGUUGUAGUACUAACCUAGAUUUGGUUAGUAUGUUGCAGAACAAACUAUUAGUGUCAAUGACGAUAACAAAGUUGGAAAUGUCAGAAAGCCAUUAAUCUGUCUUAAUCAGCUCUUCUUAUUGCUUGUUAUGAUUGCUGCAUCUUCGUAUGGUUUUUUGUUGGUUAUUUGCUUAAGUUCUAAAGACUCGAACACUAUUCAGUAGAGACACAUUUAUGAGAGCUAAAAAUAUUGUUUGCCUAUUUUACUAAUUGUUUUCUACUAUGGAUUACAGGCUAUGAAGAUUGCAGGUAUCUUAUUCAUCGGGGUUCCUUGACAUGUUCAAGUAUGCCAUUUCAACCAAGAUGAAAGUGCUGAAUUUGAGUCUAGGAGGCCCUAAUUACUCAGCUCUUCUUUUUGUUAAAGGAUUCAUAAAGAAAAUAAUAUCUCAAGAACAUGGAGCUUAUAAUCUUGUUGAGCUUUUAUGUAAAGAUGGACAUGGGAGAUAUCCCUAACAUUGAAGCUGCAGUGGUUCUUCCAAAUGAAGUCAAAUAAUUCUUUCGUUUUUCUUUUUUGUUUUCACUGAAUUGUAUUGUAGAUUGUAUAAUUAUGUUUUAGGUAUAAACUUAAUUGUAUUGCAGGCCUGUAAACUGAGUACAGAUCCAUGAUGAUGAACAUGCCUGUAAACUGGGAGCCCAGGUCCAUAAUAAUGACCUAGGCUACCCAUUUUUUUUUAGUUGUA